rnacentral:rRNA from 1 species
CCUACGGGAGGCAGCAGUGAGGAAUAUUGGUCAAUGGACGAGAGUCUGAACCAGCCAAGUAGCGUGAAGGAUGACUGCCCUAUGGGUUGUAAACUUCUUUUAUAUGGGAAUAAAAUGUUCCACGUGUGGGAUUUUGUAUGUACCAUAUGAAUAAGGAUCGGCUAACUACGUGCCAGCAGCCGCGGUAAUACGGAGGAUCCGAGCGUUAUCCGGAUUUAUUGGGUUUAAAGGGAGCGUAGGUGGGUUGUUAAGUCAGUUGUGAAAGUUUGCGGCUCAACCGUAAAAUUGCAGUUGAAACUGGCAGUCUUGAGUACAGUAGAGGUGGGCAGAAUUCGUGGUGUAGCGGUGAAAUGCUUAGAUAUCACGAAGAACUCCGAUUGCGAAGGCAGUUCACUGGACUGCAACUGACACUGAGGCUCGAAAGUGUGGGUAUCAAACAGGAUUAGAUACCCUUGUAGUC